rnacentral:rRNA from 1 species
GACGUAGGGCGCGAGCGUUGUCCGGAAUCAUUGGGCGUAAAGCGCGUGUAGGCGGCCCGGUAAGUCCGCUGUGAAAGUCCAGGGCUCAACCCUGGGAUGCCGGUGGAUACUGUCGGGCUCGAGUCCGGAAGAGGCGAGUGGAAUUCCUGGUGUAGCGGUGAAAUGCGUAGAUAUCUGGAGGAAUACCGGUGGCGAAGGCGGCAUCCUGGACCGGCAUUGACGCUGAGGAGCGAAAGCCAGGGGAGCAAACGGG